GGGUUGUGAGGUUAAGCGACUAAGCGUACACGGUGGAUGCCCUGGCAGUCAGAGGCGAUGAAGGACGUGCUAAUCUGCGAAAAGCGUCGGUAAGGUGAUAUGAACCGUUACAGCCGGCGAUGUCCGAAUGGGGAAACCCAGUGUGAUUCGUCACACUAUCGUUAACUGAAUACAUAGGUUAACGAGGCGAACCGGGGGAACUGAAACAUCUAAGUACCCCGAGGAAAAGAAAUCAACCGAGAUUCCCCCAGUAGCGGCGAGCGAACGGGGAGCAGCCCAGAGUCUGAAUCAGCUUGUGUGUUAGUGGAACGGUCUGGAAAGUCCGACGGUACAGGGUGAUAGUCCCGUACACCAAAAUGCACAGGCUGUGAACUCGAAGAGUAGGGCGGGACACGUGGUAUCCUGUCUGAAUAUGGGGGGACCAUCCUCCAAGGCUAAAUACUCCUGACUGACCGAUAGUGAACCAGUACCGUGAGGGAAAGGCGAAAAGAACCCCGGCGAGGGGAGUGAAAAAGAACCUGAAACCGUGUACGUACAAGCAGUGGGAGCACCUUCGGGUGUGACUGCGUACCUUUUGUAUAAUGGGUCAGCGACUUAUAUUCUGUAGCAAGGUUAACCGUAUAGGGGAGCCGCAGGGAAACCGAGUCUUAACUGGGCGUUAAGUUGCAGGGUAUAGACCCGAAACCCGGUGAUCUAGCCAUGGGCAGGUUGAAGGUUGGGUAACACUAACUGGAGGACCGAACCGACUAAUGUUGAAAAAUUAGCGGAUGACUUGUGGCUGGGGGUGAAAGGCCAAUCAAACCGGGAGAUAGCUGGUUCUCCCCGAAAGCUAUUUAGGUAGCGCCUCGUGAACUCAUCUUCGGGGGUAGAGCACUGUUUCGGCUAGGGGGUCAUCCCGACUUACCAACCCGAUGCAAACUACGAAUACCGAAGAAUGUUAUCACGGGAGACACACGGCGGGUGCUAACGUCCGUCGUGAAGAGGGAAACAACCCAGACCGCCAGCUAAGGUCCCAAAGUCACAGUUAAGUGGGAAACGAUGUGGGAAGGCACAGACAGCCAGGAUGUUGGCUUAGAAGCAGCCAUCAUUUAAAGAAAGCGUAAUAGCUCACUGGUCGAGUCGGCCUGCGCGGAAGAUGUAACGGGGCUAAACUGUGCACCGAAGCUGCGGCAGCGACACUAUGUGUUGUUGGGUAGGGGAGCGUUCUGUAAGCCUGCGAAGGUGGCCUGUGAGGGUUGCUGGAGGUAUCAGAAGUGCGAAUGCUGACAUAAGUAACGAUAAUGCGGGUGAAAAGCCCGCACGCCGGAAGACCAAGGGUUCCUGUCCAACGUUAAUCGGGGCAGGGUGAGUCGACCCCUAAGGCGAGGCCGAAAGGCGUAGUCGAUGGGAAACAGGUUAAUAUUCCUGUACUUGGUGUUACUGCGAAGGGGGGACGGAGAAGGCUAUGUUAGCCGGGCGACGGUUGUCCCGGUUUAAGCAUGUAGGCGGAGGUUCCAGGUAAAUCCGGUACCUUUUUAACGCUGAGGUGUGAUGACGAGGCACUACGGUGCUGAAGUAACAAAUGCCCUGCUUCCAGGAAAAGCCUCUAAGCAUCAGGUAACAUUAAAUCGUACCCCAAACCGACACAGGUGGUCAGGUAGAGAAUACCAAGGCGCUUGAGAGAACUCGGGUGAAGGAACUAGGCAAAAUGGUGCCGUAACUUCGGGAGAAGGCACGCUGAUAUGUAGGUGAAGCCCCUGCGGGUGGAGCUGAAAUCAGUCGAAGAUACCAGCUGGCUGCAACUGUUUAUUAAAAACACAGCACUGUGCAAACACGAAAGUGGACGUAUACGGUGUGACGCCUGCCCGGUGCCGGAAGGUUAAUUGAUGGGGUUAUCCGUAAGGAGAAGCUCUUGAUCGAAGCCCCGGUAAACGGCGGCCGUAACUAUAACGGUCCUAAGGUAGCGAAAUUCCUUGUCGGGUAAGUUCCGACCUGCACGAAUGGCGUAAUGAUGGCCAGGCUGUCUCCACCCGAGACUCAGUGAAAUUGAACUCGCUGUGAAGAUGCAGUGUACCCGCGGCAAGACGGAAAGACCCCGUGAACCUUUACUAUAGCUUGACACUGAACAUUGAGCCUUGAUGUGUAGGAUAGGUGGGAGGCUUUGAAGCGUGGACGCCAGUCUGCGUGGAGCCAACCUUGAAAUACCACCCUUUAAUGUUUGAUGUUCUAACGUUGGCCCCUUAUCGGGGUUGCGGACAGUGUCUGGUGGGUAGUUUGACUGGGGCGGUCUCCUCCCAAAGAGUAACGGAGGAGCACGAAGGUUAGCUAAUCCUGGUCGGACAUCAGGAGGUUAGUGCAAUGGCAUAAGCUAGCUUGACUGCGAGCGUGACGGCGCGAGCAGGUGCGAAAGCAGGUCAUAGUGAUCCGGUGGUUCUGAAUGGAAGGGCCAUCGCUCAACGGAUAAAAGGUACUCCGGGGAUAACAGGCUGAUACCGCCCAAGAGUUCAUAUCGACGGCGGUGUUUGGCACCUCGAUGUCGGCUCAUCACAUCCUGGGGCUGAAGUAGGUCCCAAGGGUAUGGCUGUUCGCCAUUUAAAGUGGUACGCGAGCUGGGUUUAGAACGUCGUGAGACAGUUCGGUCCCUAUCUGCCGUGGGCGCUGGAGAAUUGAGGGGGGCUGCUCCUAGUACGAGAGGACCGGAGUGGACGCAUCACUGGUGUUCGGGUUGUCAUGCCAAUGGCAUUGCCCGGUAGCUAAAUGCGGAAGAGAUAAGUGCUGAAAGCAUCUAAGCACGAAACUUGCCCCGAGAUGAGUUCUCCCUGACUCCUUGAGAGUCCUGAAGGAACGUUAAAGACGAUGACGUUGAUAGGUCGGGUGUGUAAGCGUAGCGAUACGUUGAGCUAACCGAUACUAAUGAACCGUGAGGCUUAACCUUACAACGCCGAAGGUGUUU
rnacentral:rRNA from 1 species